UACGGGGGGAGCAAGCGUUGUUCGGAUUUACUGGGCGUAAAGGGCGCGUAGGCGGUCGUGACAAGUCACUUGUGAAAUCUCCGGGCUUAACUCGGAACGGUCAAGUGAUACUGUCGUGCUAGAGUACAGAAGGGGCAACUGGAAUUCUCGGUGUAGCGGUGAAAUGCGUAGAUAUCGAGAGGAACACCUGCGGCGAAGGCGGGUUGCUGGGCUGAUACUGACGCUGAGGCGCGAAAGCUAGGGGAGCGAUCCGG
rnacentral:rRNA from 1 species